rnacentral:lncRNA from 1 species
AGUCUUUCAUUUGUCUAUCAUUAUAGACAAUUCCAUCCAUAUUAUCUAUUCUAUGGAAUUCGAACCUGAACUUUAUUUUAUAUUUCUAUUACGAUUCACUAUAUGGAUCUAACGGGCUCCUCUUCUUAUUUUUCUUAUUUAUUUUUUAGUUAAAUUUCAGCAUAUUGAUUUAUGCCUAGCCUAUUCUUUUCUUUGCGUUUUUCUUUCUUUUUUAUACCUUUCAUAGCGGAAUUCCAUAUAUUUUCACAUUUAGGAUUACAUAUACAACAUAUACCACCGUCAAGG